CCCCGGAAAGCUUUUAUGAAGCCUUAGUCUUUUAACCUAACGAAGAGCACCUUCUCUCCGCCCA
rnacentral:tRNA from 1 species